GCAAAACACCAGUUUUUGUUUGAUCACUGAAGUUAAGCAACAUUGAGCCUGGUCAGUACUUAGAUGGGUCACUGUUUUGGAAUCCCAGGUGCUGUCAG